rnacentral:rRNA from 1 species
AAUCAACGCUGGCGGCGUGCCUAACACAUGCAAGUCGAACGCGAAAGCCCCUUCGGGGGCAAGUAGAGUGGCGUCCGGGUGAGUAACACGUGGGUAAUCUACCUCCGGGUGGGGAAUAACUCGCCGAAAGGCGGGCUAAUACCGCAUAAUGCAGCGGCACCGAAUGGUGAUUAGUUGUUAAAGCGGGGGGACCUUAGGGCCUCGCGUCUGGAGAGGAGCCUGCGGCAGAUUAGCUUGUUGGAGGGUAAUGGCCUACCAAGGCUGCGAUCUGUAGCUGGUCUGAGAGGACGGCCAGCCACACUGGCACUGACACACGGGCCAGACUCCUACGGGAGGCAGCAGUGGGGAAUUUUGGGCAAUGGGCGAAAGCCUGACCCAGCAACGCCGCGUGAAGGAGGAAAUCCUUCGGGAUGUAAACUUCACAAGCAAGGGAAGAGCGCGCAGGGUCGAAUAAACUCUGCGUCCGACGGUACCUUGCGUAAGCCACGG